rnacentral:lncRNA from 1 species
UGCGCCUCGCUCACGUCCUCUGCCGCCCAGAGGGAGAAAGUGCAGCCUGGUCUGGGAAAGUGGCCGGCUUCGGCGGACAGAUGUCAAAUUACCAUCUCGGACUUAACCAACACAUGCGAAAGUAAAUUCCUGCGCACCUUCACAAUUGCACUUUUGUUCAGUUUCCCCAGCUUCACCUUUCUCGUGGAGAGUUGGGUCAGCUGUGAUCCUUUCUCUCAUACUCUUCAUCCAGUUUCUCAGCAAACCCUCCUGGCUUUACCUGGAAACUCUAUGUAGAAUCAAUCACUUGUCUCCGCUUCUACAUUACCACUGUGGAUUGAGUCACUAUUAUUUGUAGCCUGCAUUUUGAUGAUAGCUGACUAAUUAAGCCAUCUGUUUACAUCCUGCUUCCUCCUUCAUCCCAUAGUGUUGUUUAUCAAGGCAAUGAAAAUGAUCUUUUAACAAACUCAAAUCAAAUCAUAUAGCUGCUCUGCUCAAACUGUUCCUAUAGAGUUUUGUUUUUGGCAAUAACGGACCAGUCCAUUUGGGAUCAGCACUCUCACUAACAUUAGAAAAGCAGGCAAAAUUAAAUAAAUAUUAAAAAGUCCCUUGCCUGAAGGCAUCAAGGAACUUCAAAAGCAGCAUGGACUUGGAUGACUACAGUCCCAGAAGGGGCAGUCCAGGAAGGAUUUCCUGUGGAUUAUUUGGUGAUUCCAUAGCAAUAGCUGAGUAGUCGACAAAGUAAGCAGAGCCUUCAGCAUGUCAUGAGGCUCCUGAAACACACUGGAGUUUCAGAUCUUUAAAGAAAAAGGUUUUGGUAAACACUUUAGGCUUCUACGCAGGACUCUGAAGAGCUACAGUACAGGAAAAAAUUUUUCGGGUAAUUCCAUGUCUAACGUCAAUGAUAAUGGAGCGACAUACUAGAAGGCAAAAAAUAGUCUACAAUGGCCACUGCAAGCCAGAAGAGCAGGGAAAGCCAGUAGCUGCUCAGUCCAAAAAGCUGGACACCUCAGAAAAAGAGGGACCAAGGAUCCAGCCCCA